UUGCAGCUAUAUUUAUAUAUUAUAUUUGAUUAUAAAUGUAUUACUAAAAAUCUUGUUAUUUCUCUCUCAGUCUGAGGGGCUGUAAUCUGACAGAGGAAAGUUGUUCAUCACUGGCGUCAGUUCUCAGAUCAAACUCCUCAAGUCUGACAGAACUGAACCUGAGUUUCAAUAAACUGCAGGAUUCAGGAGUGAAGCUGCUCUCUGAUGGACUGAAGAAUACAAACUGUAAACUGAAGACACUGAAGCUGUUUAACUGCAGUAUUGGAUCUGAAGGUUGUGUUGCUCUGACUUCAGCUCUGAGAUCAAACCCCUCACAUCUGAGAGAACUCAAUCUGAGAUAUAAUAAUCCAGGAGAUUCAGGAGUGAAGAUGCUCUCUGAUCUACUGAAGGAUCCACACUGUCAACUACAGAAACUACUUAUUGAGCCAAAAGUUGAAUCAAGCGACUGUGUUUUGUCAUAAACUACAAGAGUUGUUUACUGCCUCCUACUGGACAAACAACAUCAGUGACUCAGAAGAGCUCAACACGAGAGACGUCUGUUACAGAUCUUAACACACAAACACAAACUGUUGAUUGUUUGUCGUUUCAUGUUUUUCUGGUCCAGCUCACUAUAAAGCAAGGGCUCAAAUGCAGCAGGAUUCAAUCUGAGCUUUCUGUGUCACAUCGGCACAUUUGCUGUGGGAGUGGAGGGUUUAGUGUAUGUGUGUGAUGGGAAAGAACACCAUUGACAUUUAUUGAAAUGUUUAUGUAAAUGUGAAUAACAAUGCAUUUGUACAUUAUUGUAUUUAGAUUCAAUUCUGAAUAUGUAUGUAAUGAGAUAUUAUGCUUAUUGUUGAUAAUCGCCUCCCAGCUAACAAAAUAAUCCCACAAAUAUUAUAAAUCAUGAAUUCAUUUGUGAAGUGCAGUAUUGGAUCUGAAUCCAAUGGCCUAAUGGUUAGAGAGUCGGACUUGUGACCAGAAGGUUGCUGGUUGGAUUCCCAGGGCCGGCGGGUAACGACUGAGGUGCCCUUGAGCAAGGCACCUGACCCCUACUUGCUCCCCGGGCGCUGCAGUGAUAGCUGCCCACUGCUCCGGGUGUACGUGUGUUCACUACUCUCUGGAUGGGUUACAUGCAGAGGUGACAUUUUGUUGCCUUGUACAUGUGUAAUGACAAUAAAGUUGAAUCUAAAUCUAAUAUCAAGAGUAACAAUGGCACAUUUAAGAAUAUAUAUUUCUAGAUUGUAAUUAUGUAAUUUAUGUGUUCUUGCCUCCUAUGACAUAUCACUUUCUUGUUUCCGAAUCUCUCUGUAGGUCGCUUGAAAUAAAAGUGUCUGUUAAAUGUCUAAAAGUUGAUGUAAAGCGGUAACCUGUCUGCCUCAGUGUGGGACAUAACAUACAGUAUAUUUUUAGACUUAUUGUACAAUGCUUAUAUGUACUUUUUAAAUAUUUGAUUGUUGGUUUCCUUAUAAUAAACAAGAUGUCAUUGUUUUUCUA